UGCACAUGGACCCCGACAUCCACCCCGAGCCCACCGCCUUCAGGUACGAUCGCUUCCUCACCCCCAGCGGCAGCCGAAAAGUAGACUUCUACAAGGCAGGCAAGAAGAUCCGCCACUACACCAUGCCGUGGGGCUCGGGCGUCUCCAUCUGCCCUGGGAGGUUCUUGGCCCUCAACGAGAUGAAGCUCUUUAUCUUGCUCAUGGUCAUGAACUUUGACUUGGAGUUGGUGGACCCUGACACACCUGUGCCACCCGUGGACCCCCAGCGCUGGGGCUUUGGCACCACACAGCCCAGCCACGAGGUGCGAUUCCGCUACCGCCUUCGGCCUUCAGAGUGAGCUCUGUCCAGGUGGCCUCGAGUGUGGCUGCGGGGGCUCCCGUGGGUCUCUGCCUCCUCUCACCCACCCCUCUAAAGCCCCAGACCACCCCCCUCCUCUGUCCUGCUUGUCCUCCCUGCUCUUUGGCAUCCUUCUGGUCACCUCACAGGCUGAUACUUCUCUCUUGAAACACUGUCUCUCAUGGCGGAUGCGGCGUAAUUCACCUCUCACAGGAAGUCCAGGGAAGGGGAAACAUCUGUGGGCAACUCAGUGUGGGGGAUAAUACAUGCCAUGACAAAUCUCAUGCAGUACAGACACCGGUUAUGGUGAGUCAUGUAGCAUCUUGCAAACAUUGGUCUCCACCCUCCCGCUCCACUUUGCUUGUUUUCCUCAACACUUACACUGUGGGAUUCAGGGUCUAGAACAGUGUCAUCCGAUAGCCAUAUGAGGUAAGCCACACGUGUAAUUUUUCAUCUCCUAGCUGACAUGUUUUUAAAAGUAAAAAGAAACUGGUGAAAUUCAUUUUUCUACUGUAUUUUGCUUGUCCUGAUGUAUCUAAAAUAUUAGCUUUUCAAUGGGGAGUCAUAUAAAAGUAUUAAUGAAAUAUUUUUACAUUUCUUUUUCCCUCCAAAAUCUGGUCUGUACUUUUCAACCCUUCAAACUGAGUGCUCAACAGCCGCGUGCUUCUGUAUUGGACAGAGCAGCUCUAGAGAAGGGUGGCCUUUCAUGGAGGAGAUAUGCAAGGUCCCUCUUGCCUGCCCUCCUCUCCCCUCUGCACCCCCACCUUGGGGUGAUUUCAACUCCUCACUUGGUUUCCGCAACCAUCACUAAGCUCAGAGCUCUCUCUCCUACCUCCAGACCCCCAAUCUCCCCACAGCGGUCUAAGAGCACCUCUGCUACAGUUCAGCCCACACGCAGAACUCAGCACCUGUUCCCCCCGACCUCUGCCCUGAACCAUGCCCAUCUCCUGGUUUCCCUGCCUCUCUGCUCAGGACACCAUCAUCCACCCAUCCACUUAGGCAGAUACAGAGGACACACCCUCAGCCCCUCCCUUUCUCUCCCCCACAGGGAGAGAGUUCUGUCAUCUGACCCCUGUGGGGCCUCUGGACUCUCUGUUUACCCUACUUCCAGAGACUUUUUUUCCAAAAGCACCUCUGAGCAUCCCCUUUAUACUUUUCUGGCUCCUCAUCACCUCCCCGCAGUUGAUAUUUAAGUUUUGCCACAUGAGGUCCUCGAAUUUUCAAUCCAGUGCAAUUCAACUUUGGCAACUUUCUCCAGUGGAACUGUCUGUAAAGUACAGUGCUUGUUUUCACUCUUAGCCCUGGGGCCGGCUAUUCCUGGAAACCUCUUGAACCUCACCCAUUCCAUCCUCUGGCUAGAGAUGGCCUCCACCCCACCUCCUCCCUGGAGCACCCCUGCCCCUGUGUUUAUCACAGCCCAUCUGUCACGUCGUCGUUUUCUGGGUCCUGUUUUCUGCCUCCUGCACCUGCUUCAGAUGCAGCCCACAGCAUUUGGUAUCUUAUUCCCUUCAUCUCUGACCUUAAUUCCCUAAAUGUAGAUUAAAUUACAGAAACCUGACUUCCAGUCUUAUCUACUUUACUUUGGCUCAUGUCCUCUUGGCCUCCAUUCCAUCCAACCAAAAAUUUUUUUCUGAGCAACACUGUCUGCCAGGCUGUGCUGGGUUUUGCAGAUGGCUCUGUGAGGUGGGCGGAGAAGGCAAUGGCACCCCACUCCAGUACUCUUGCCUGGAAAAUCCCAUGGACAGAGGAGACUGGUAGGCUUCAGUCCAUGGGGUCAUUAGGAGUCGGACACAACUGAGGGACUUCACUUUCACUUUUCACUUUCAUGCACUGGAGAAGGAAAUGGCAACCCACUCCAGUGUUCUUGCCUGGAAAAUCCCAGGGACGGGGAGCCUGGUGGGCUGCCAUCUAUGGGGUCACACAGAGUCGGACACGACUGAAGCGACUUAGCAGCAGCAGCAGCUGGGAGGUGGGAGAAAGCAGUGAUGCUUUAGAAGCUCAGGAAGACAGAGAUGGCACCAUGGCUCAGGGGCUCCCUGGGAAAGGCUUCUCGGUGGACGUGUCAGCGUGCAGGGAAGAUGCCGGCCGUGGGAGACAUGGAACGUCCAGGCAGGGCAUAUCCGUCGAGAAUCCCUUAGAUCACAGGUAACAGGAGACCACCACCCCAAACUGAAAGGACAUCCAUUGGUUCGUGUCACUAUCAAGUGCAGGCUUCGGAUGUCCUUCAGCCAGGCCUUGAUUCUGGGGCUUUGGCAUUGCCCCCAGGAUCUGCUCACUCACUGCUCUCACCUCCCCUUCUGAAGUUCACGCUGAUGGAGGAGCAGCCCCAGACCUCACACCCCCCUGGCCUCAGUUUCAUGCCUCUGUUCUAGCAUGUUCUAGUCGAGCUGCAUUUCACAAGCUCUGCCUGGGCCUGGGCCCAUCCCUAAAUGAAUCACUGUGCCAGGGAAAGGUAAGGCCAAAGCUGGCCAAAGACCCGUGCCCCACCCAAACACCACUCAAAGCACAGGGCAGAGUGCCCCUGGAACGUUUCCCAGAGCAGGUAGGACUCAGUUACAUAACAAGAGUGAGGGGAUACUUGGCUGGAAAAUGACCCCUGUUCCAUGAGGGAGCCAACCAGCACAAGAGCAGAGAUGGGAAUGUGAAGGAAACAACAGCGGGUAUGGCGCCCAGCAAAUGAAAAGCCAGGAGAAGGAGUGUGAGGGUGAAACGGGGUGUGGGAUUCUGGUUGUGAAAAGUCCAGCCUUGAGACUGGACAAAGGUCCUGGAUUUGAUGGCGUAGGCUCUGAGGGACCCCUGAAGGCUCCUGAGUGAGGGCACGGGAGGCAGGAGGAGGGAGGAGCUCCUGGACCACCAGAAACAUGUGCUUACUCUGCCUCCCACCCGCAGACUCUCAUGGGUGGAGCCCCUCCAGCCCCUCCUGACUGCCAGCCCCUGAAGCAAGCAUCAGAGCUGCGAUAUUAAACAAAAUUGUGAUAAUAUUUUCCCAGCUGAGCUUCAGGGAAAGGGGCAGCCUGGUGGGUGGCAGACAUCUGGCUACUCUGCAGGGCGUGGGAGUGAUGCUGAGGGUGCUGUGGUCAGUGGCUGCUGGGUGCAGAUCAGAUGACACGCGAGCCCAAGGAUGGGCAGCACAGAGGUCAGCUGUUUAACUAAGGCGGCCAUUCAGGCAAGCGAGUACGGACUCCGGGAGGGCAGUGAAGGAAGAGGAGGGGAGGGUGGGAGAGAGCAAACACUGCUGAUGGCUGAGGACUGAGAAGUGACCAGUGGGAUCGGCAACAUGGUCACUGAGACCUCUGAAGGGAAGACUUCGGUGGAUGCACAGAGGAGCUGGGUCCCCUCUGCUCUCAAGGACUGUGGUGUGACCGCUCAGGCUGAGUUCUUCUCUCUGUCCCCCUUGUCGGGGGAGCUCUCAGCCUGUCUCUCCCCGAGGUCACUCAUGCCCAUUACAUCUUCCUGGGCAGUGAGCCUGCUGCUCUCAGAAUAGCUGGACGGCAGGGCCUGCUGCCUUCUGAGCACAGUGGCCAGGAAAGCCUUGAGGUACUGGCGGAAGCGGCGGCUGGAGAAGGCGUAGAGGACGGGGGUGAAGCAGCAGUGCAGGAAGGCGAUGCUCUCCGUCACUUGCAGCGCAUAGUCCAGGCGCUGGCUGAGCCCGCAGUCCCCAAAGACNNNNNNNNNNGGACAGAGGAGCCUGGCAGCUUGCAGUCCAUAGGGUUGCACAGAGUCGGACACAACUGAAGCAACUUAGCACACAUCAAUUCACCUAUUUAUUAAAUCUGUAUACCCUUCCUCAUGUGUGGCUUAAAAUUCUUCUUCUUUGUGUGACUUAUAAUUUUGUUUUCACUUUCAGGUCACACUGCAUGGCAUGGGAGAUCUCAGUUCCUUGACCAGAGACUGAACCCACACCCUCGUAAUGGAAGCACAGAGUCUUAAAUUCUGGACUACUAGGGAAGUCCCAGUGUUUUUUUAAAAGAGUCUCUCUUCAAUGGGGCUUGCUUCUUCUGUAAAUAGCUGGUGUGCCCACUCUGGCUUUGAGCUCUCUUUACUUCUGUCACUUGAGGAUUUCCCUUGCUUUGAUUAUUUUUAAAGUAUUUUUGGAAUAACAAGAUGGCAGAGGAGUAGGUAGACGUGGAGUACAUCUCUCUCCACGGAUUCAUCAGGAAUACACCUUCAGACACAGAAGAUCUUGCAGAACGCCAGCUGAGAGCGGACAGGAGUACCUGACCACUGGAAGAGAAUAUAUAGAACCACGCAAAACUCAGUAGGAUGAAGGAAGUAGGGGGAAAAAGAGGAGUGUGAGCAGGACUGGACCUGCACCUGGGAGGUGGAGGAACUGAAAUAGGUGUCAGAGUUCACAUUGGGGCAACUGUUUAGGACAGAGGAGAAGCAUUUGAGGCUGCUGGAGAGUGAAGCUGCUGAGCUGUGACAGUGCGAACAGAAUGAGAAUCACACAGACGAUCCUUGCUGCAGCAUCAGUGGUGGGGGCAUAGACUUGGAUUACUGUGAUGCUGAAUGGUUUUGCCUUGGAAAUGAAGAGAGAUCAUUCUGUCAUAUUUGAGAUUGCACCCAAGUACUGCAUUUUGGACUCUUUUGUUGACUAUGAGGGCUACUCCAUUUCUCCUAUGGGAUUCUUGGCCACAGUGGUACAUAUAAUGGUUAUAUGAAUUAAAUCCACCCAUUCCUGUCCAUUUUAGUUCAUGGAUUCCUAAGAUACCGAUGUUUACUCUUGCCAUCUCCUGCUUGACCAUGUCCAAUUUACCUUGAUUCAUGGACCUAACAUUCCAGGUUCCUAUGCAAUACUGUUCUUUACAGCAUCGGAUUUUACUUUCAUCAUCAGACACAUCCACAACAGAGCUUCAGUUUCAGCUUUGGCCCAGCCACUUCAUUCUUUCAGGAGCUAUUAGUAGCUGUUCUCCACUCUUCCCCAGUAGCAUAUAGAACACCUUCCAAUCUGGGCGGGGGGCUCAUCUUUUGGGGUCGUAUCUUUCUGCCUUUUAAACAUUUCAUGGAGUUCUCUUGGCUAGUAUACUGGAGCGGUUCACCAUUCCCCACUCCAGUAGAUCCCAUUUUGUCAGAACUUGCCACUAUGAUCUAGCUGUCUUGGGUGGCCCUACAUGGCAUGGCUGAUAGCUUCAUUGAGUUACACAAGCCCCUUCACCAUGACAAAGCAGUGAACCAUGAAGGAGAGAUCUAGAAGACCUCAGAACUAACACCAAAAAAAAAAAAAAGAUGUCCUAUUCAACAUAAGGGAUUGGGAUGCAAAAGUAGGAUAUCAAGAGAUACCUAGAGUAACAGGCAAAUUUGACCUUGGAGAACAAAAUGAAGCAGGGCAAAGGCUAAC
ensembl:lncRNA